rnacentral:misc_RNA from 1 species
AGAAAAGAUAGGGUGCUCUGAAACUAAAUAUGACAGGCCUUACUCGGCUACAUUGUAGAUCGGGUAAGGAGUAUUACAUUGAUUCUGGCACAAUUUCAAUUUAAUUCUUAGUGAAGAAUCAGAAUCGAACCAAAAUAUCAAAAUAACUUUAGUUCGAUAUGAUUCCUAUCAAUUCGGUACGAUUCUUCAGUUCUAUUCGAUUUUCCUAAGAACCGUGCACAACACUAACAUUAUAUGCUUAGGAGCGGUGUUGUUUGGAAGAUCACAUAGCCAUGUUGAUAUCGACAUCGCAUGAUAUGAAGCUUUACUGUCCAACAGGUUACAACCGUGUAAGGCUUCACUAGCACACAUGCCACUCAAAAGCCAAUUCAGAAAACAGUGACACCUUCUCAUAAAUCAUUUGUAAAGUAUCCAGUAUAUCAGCGAUACUUCCAAUUCACCAGCUGAUAGACACUCUGGUAUUCUUCAUGUUAAAGAAGAGAAUGCCACAGAUAUUUCUGGGAUCUGCUUUCGAAUUUCAAUAGAGGAGCUUGGCUGCUCCAGAGACAGACGCAAACCAAAAGCAGAAUGGUAAUCUCAUAUUUGCCUUACCAAUAACUAGCAAUUACUUUCAUUUUAUUUCAAUAAAAUUAUAAGCAAAAUACUAGAGUUUUUGGAUCAUAUAAAAAAAAUAAAUUAGGGUAAUUUACAACCAAGCUCCUGACUUAAAACAUGGAUUAAUCUGUGAAUUUUACUAAAUCUAUAUAUACAUCUAUAAUUCUGAGUGGAUUCGAAAAUCCAAAAUCCCUUGAUCCACUAUCCAUCAAUGUCCCAUCUGCAAAUUCACAUAUGAAAAUAGAUAUA